UCUAGAAAUAAAAGGAAUAUAACCUUUAUAUUUUACUCUAUCAAAGUAACUCUUUUGUCAGACAUAUUUCCAUAUUAGUGGUGGAAUACUUGUUGUUCAAAUGGGGGCC